UAAAAAAAAAAAAAAAAAAAAAGGUAUGCUGCAACCAGACUGUGGCCACCAGUGAAGAUGAGUGUAGAUUUCUACAUCCUGUGUAGAAAUUUGUGGUCUACCCUCUUCCUAAUAAGGCUGAUACUAUCUCGUGGACUGGGGUGAUGUUUGACAUUUGAUCACUCACAGUUCGCACACUGCAGUUGGUGCAGCACAAGGUGGAUGGUCUGCAAGGAACCCAGGACCCUGGUCUUGAGUUGUAGGAUCUAGUGCUCACCAUGAACCACAGUCACUUCUUCUCCUUGGACAUUUCUCUCUCCGGGUUGAGACUUCUUUGGUUCUCCUCCAAUCCCAUGCCUUGGGAGGCUGCCCACCAUUGUGGUCACCACAGGAGUGUUGGUAGCUGCAUCUCUCUGGCUGUGCCGGGAAGGAUGGGGAACCCGUGGGCAGGAACCAGAUAUCCAAGAGGAGGAUCCAUGCCAAGGGCACAGCAGCCCUCCUAAUCAACACAGAGACUAAGUCAUCCCCAUAGGCUCCCCAGCAUCUCUGGACAACAGCAUCAGAGGCUGCAGACUACUGGGGCCACUACAAAACCCUGUUGUGGCAAUAUAUUGUGUACCCCAAUAAACUUGCCUGAGGAUCAGAGGACAGAGCCAGCCACUAGAUUAGACAUAGAGAUCAGGCAGUGCUGGCACACAGCCUUAAUCCUAUCACUCAGGAGACAGAGAUCCACUGAGGAGUUGGCGAGGUGAGGUUGACUGUGGCUGUUCUGCUUCUCUGAUCUUUCAGCUUUUACCCCA